rnacentral:rRNA from 1 species
CCCUGAUGUUAGCGGCGGACGGGUGAGUAACACGUGGGUAACCUGCCUGUAAGACUGGGAUAACUCCGGGAAACCGGGGCUAAUACCGGAUGCUUGUUUGAACCGCAUGGUUCAAACAUAAAAGGUGGCUUCGGCUACCACUUACAGAUGGACCCGCGGCGCAUUAGCUAGUUGGUGAGGUAACGGCUCACCAAGGCAACGAUGCGUAGCCGACCUGAGAGGGUGAUCGGCCACACUGGGACUGAGACACGGCCCAGACUCCUACGGGAGGCAGCAGUAGGGAAUCUUCCGCAAUGGACGAAAGUCUGACGGAGCAACGCCGCGUGAGUGAUGAAGGUUUUCGGAUCGUAAAGCUCUGUUGUUAGGGAAGAACAAGUACCGUUCGAAUAGGGCGGUACCUUGACGGUACCUAACCAGAAAGCCACGGCUAACUACGUGCCAGCAGCCGCGGUAAUACGUAGGUGGCAAGCGUUGUCCGGAAUUAUUGGGCGUAAAGGGCUCGCAGGCGGUUCCUUAAGUCUGAUGUGAAAGCCCCCGGCUCAACCGGGGAGGGUCAUUGGAAACUGGGGAACUUGAGUGCAGAAGAGGAGAGUGGAAUUCCACGUGUAGCGGUGAAAUGCGUAGAGAUGUGGAGGAACACCAGUGGCGAAGGCGACUCUCUGGUCUGUAACUGACGCUGAGGAGCGAAAGCGUGGGGAGCGAACAGGAUUAGAUACCCUG